CAGUGAUCGUAAACAUAAAACGGGUCUAACUCCAUAUCUUAUUUGGCAAAGCUAUGAGUGAGAUCAAGACACUGAGAGGAAGCCACAUCCUCCAUUAAACCUGACUGAUUUCAUUGAAGAAGUCUGGGGAGGGUCGAGAGGAAAGAUGAGCAACUCCAGGAAACGACUCCAUGAAGAAGUGGAAUCUUCAUCAGAGCGGUGGAAACAAAAAGUGACUCAGCCACAAAGACUUCAUUAUGGCCUUUAUAAUCAAGGAAACACAUGUUACCUCAAUAGUGUCCUGCAGGUUCUCUUCGUGACCAAAGAUUUCCACAACAGGUUGGAUCAAAAAUCAAAGUACACAGACAAGGAGCUGAUGAGAAUCUUUGAAAAACUGAAAGAAACAACAUGUCGAACAGAAAACAUUGCCAAGGCGUUUGAGAUUAAAAAUGUUAAUCAACAAAGUGAUGCUGCUGAAUGCCUGCAGUUUAUCUUGCAGAAGGUCACCCCACGGGCCUCUGAGGUGAGCACUUAG
rnacentral:lncRNA from 1 species